UGCACGACCAUUAUUCUGAAAAACAGAGAGAAAAGAAAACCAAAAACCAUUUCUUGGCUGGUUUGAAGAAAUUCUAAGGAGAUCCAAGUGAAAGCAAAGCCAAAGAAGUAGAUUAAGCUUAGUUCUAGCCUUUUUAUGAUAUUUCUUGGGGUUUCCAAGUGGUUUGAGGUUUAGAAAAGCUUGAAGAGAUUGUUUUCGCCGAAAAGUUGAUCGGAUAAGGACAUCAAUACCUAAGACAUCACUUGUUACACGGUGAAAUAUAUUGUGGACAAAAGGUAGAGAAAGAAAUAUGCGAAUGAUAUGAGGAGAACUGAAGCAUGGUCCUGACCCUGAUUUGUACAUAUGAACACAUCGACCUUUUUGUGGGUUAUUUCAGUUAUCAGUGAGAUGUUUGUAAUAAAGUGUGAAGUUAUGUUUUGAAAAUAAAUUGGGUUAUUUAAUACUUAUGUAUAAUAUGUUUGAGACACACUUUAUGUUUAAUGUAAAUAAUGUGAAAUAAGUUUUCAAGUUUUAAAAAAAAAAAAAAAAAAAAUGUCCAAACUUCCGCAGAAAUAAAUUAUGAUAUAGUUUUAAAACGUAACACCUCAAAUAUGAUUUUUAACUAAAAUAAGUGAGGGUGUUACACAGAUGAACCACCACCUACUACUGCAACAAAGGCUAGGAGAGUUGGCCAAGUUAAUCACUGCAGCAAUUGUAAGCAAACAGGCCAUUCACGAGUAACAUGCAAGAAUGCAACUAUGGAGCCUGCAAGGCAAAAAAAGAGAGGAAGACCACCAUCUCAGAAUCCUACUACUGAAACUAUUAAAAGGAAGGAGCGAGCUAAGAGACAGAAGCAAAGGAAUGGUGGUUCCACAUCUCAGACCAACUAAGAAGCUGCUCUUUAAUCUUAAACCCUUUUGAUGUAGAAAACUUGUUUUCUUUUUGGUGUAGUCGCCAUACAAUAUAGGCAUUACCAUACUUUUGACAUGUACAUAUUCAGUCUGACUUUAUCAAUAUUUUGGGACAUCUUGGCCAUUAGGAAUACUUUUGACAUGUAGACAUUAUGCUACUUAAUAUGUCAUAUGUUUGCUCUGUAAAGUUGAAAAUAUUAAUCAAUGACAAAAUAUCUGGUUUGGUGCA